UUUAAAGACAAAGGUCUCAGUUUCAUAUCCCAUAAUCUGUUAAACAAGAGGGUAAAGUAAUUGUUAGGUUGAUCAAAUGAAAUUUAAUUUUCAUUGGUUUAAAAUGGUAAAACAGAGCGUCUGCGCACCAUCGGGCCCAAAGUGGCGGCGAGGUCCAUCCUCCCCGUGCAUGGUUUUCCCCGCCAAGCGGUCUUGCUUGGUGCCAUCCAUGAGGGCGUGCGCUGGGCCUUUUCCUGCGGCACUUGGCUGCCCGGUCCGGCCAAGUGGCUGCUGGCGGUACGAUCAAUCCAGCCCGAGGAGAAGGAGCGCAUCGGCCAGUUCGUCUUUGCCCAUGGCGCGAAGGCAGCCAUGGCUGGUCGUCUGAUGAUAAGGAAAUUAGUUGCGGGAAACUGAAUAUCCCUUGGAAUAAUAUUCAUUCACAAAGAACUGCAAAAGGAAAACCAGUUCUUGUGAAGGACUCGUUGAAUCCUUACCCCAAUUUCAACUUCAACAUCUCUCAUCAAGGGGACUGUGCGGUGCUUGCUGCCGAACCUGAGCUCCAGGUUGGAAUUGAUAUAAUGAAGACUAGUUUUCCAGGUCAUGGUUCAAUGCCAGAAUUCUUUCAUAUUAUGAAAAAAAAAGUUUACCACCAAAGAAUGGGAAACAAUCAAAAGCUUUAAGGAUGAAUGGAUUCAGCUGGAUAUGUUUUAUAGAAAUUGGGCAUUCAAAGAAAGCUUCAUAAAGGCCAUUGGUGUUGGACUGGGAUUUGAACUGCAACAACUUGAAUUUGAUAUAUCUCUGUUAAACUUGGAUAUAGACCAAGUUUAUAAAGAAACACGUUUGUUCCCAAAUGGAGAGGAAGAAAAAGAUGUAUGGGCAUCUGAGGAAAGCAAAAUAGAUGGGCACCAUUUUGUUGCCGUAGCUCUUAGGAAACCCGAUGGAUCUAAACAUCAGGAUGUGCCAUCUGAAGAUGAUUCUAAACCAACCCCAAGGCAGUUUACUGUUCUCACCUUUAAUGAUUUAAUAGCAUCUGCUGUUCCCAUGACACCUGAAGAUCCUUUAUUUUGGGACUGUUUUUGCUUCACAGAAGAAAUUGUAAUACGAAAUGGUAUAAAGUCAUGAUGACUCCUUGAGUAACAGAGAGCAAUGAAAACUGUAAUCUUCCAUAUUCACUGAAAAAUAAAUAUUUGAUAGGAUCAAA